ncrna:Streptomyces sp. LaPpAH-202 che1 RNA
UGGACAGGGGGGUCUCUGCCCAUCGGCAGGGCCUGUCCGAACCGGCUGCGCAUCCCCGUGCGAGGCGUGGCCAGUGGUUGUCGCUCGGGGGUGAUCGCCG